GGGCGAUUAGCUCAGUUUUGGUUAGAGCGCAUGCUUGACAUGCAUGAGGUCACAGGUUCAAGUCCUGUAUCGCCCA
rnacentral:tRNA from 1 species